rnacentral:tRNA from 1 species
UCGCCAAGUCGCCGGACGUGGCCGCAGCCCUGUCCCUGGCAGGGGCGGCCGGGGUGCUGCUGGCGGGCGGCGGCUGGUUCUCGACCCGGAUCGCCGAG